AUGUAAACAACGAGGAGCCAAGGCAUCGAAAGACCGUAUUUCUUCAGCUUGCUUGGAUGAUUUAACCGAUUCUUACUUGUGUAAAAGUGUGAUGACAUGUUUUUCUGUUAAAUAUGCUCUGUUUGUUUGGAUAAUUCCACAGAAACCGUCAACAACGGACUUGAAUAGAUGAUUUGCGAUAUCAUUAAAUGGAUUGUCUGCACUCAUGCGUCAUCGCAGUACGAGGAUUUCAACCUAAAAAGAAACCCUGCACAUUUGCAGCUGUACAGAAUGCAGUUCAUGCCAUAUGCUGUAAGAGUAAAUGAUGAAAGAUGUUCAAACCAGUGUCACGGAGUCCUAAGUCUGAAAUCAUGGUGUUUUUAUUAAGGAGAUCAGUGUGUUUUCUGUGCAUUGUUGACAUUUGAAGAACUGUUCGGUUUAUGACC